rnacentral:rRNA from 1 species
CCUACGGGGGGCAGCAGUGAGGAAUAUUGGUCAAUGGCCGUAAGGCUGAACCAGCCAAGUCGCGUGAAGGAAGAAGGAUCUAUGGUUUGUAAACUUCUUUUAUAGGGGAAUAAAGGUAUCCAUGUGUGGAUAUUUGCAUGUACCCUAUGAAUAAGCAUCGGCUAACUCCGUGCCAGCAGCCGCGGUAAUACGGAGGGUGCGAGCGUUAUCCGGAUUUAUUGGGUUUAAGGGGUGCGUAGGUUGUUUUUUAAGUCAGCGGGGAAAGUUUGUGGCUCAACCAUAAAAUUGCCGUUGAAACUGGAAGACUUGAGUGUGUUUGAGGUAUGCGGAAUGCGUGGUGUAGCGGUGAAAUGCAUAGAUAUCACGCAGAACUCCGAGUGCGAAGGCAGCUUACUAAGCCAUAACUGACACUGAAGCACGAAAGCGUGGGGAUCAAACAGGAUUAGAUACCCCUGUAGUC